GUGGUUGGUGUGGCUCCAAAUCAGACACGAAAUCAUACAAGAAUAAUUCACUAACACACACUUCAUUUUGUUGCUGAGGAGUAAGAUUCUUCACCUUGGCUUUCCUUGCUAACUAAAAAGUACAACACUGCAUUACCAAACUCUGCUAAAUCUUGAUGGAAAUCUGUGGAGCUACAGCUAUGAAAUGGUCUCACACCAUCUUUCCUUCUCUUCACCUUCCUCGGCCCCUCUCAACCAAGGAGGCUAGAAGGUUCAAAGUUUGGUGUGGCACUGAUCAAGGCCCCGAGGGAAAUAAAAUGAUCAUAUCUAUAACUGGAGCAACAGGUUUUAUAGGUAGAAAGUUGGUGCAAAGAUUGCAUGCAGACAGUCAUAGUGUUCAUGUCUUGACGCGCUCUAAAUCUAAAGCUGAAACAAUUUUUCCUGCAAAAGACUUUCCCGGACUCAAGAUUGCAGAGGAACCAGAAUGGAAAGAUAGCAUUCAGGGCUCAACGGGGAUCGUGAAUUUGGCUGGAAUGCCCAUAAGUACCCGAUGGUCUUCUGAGAUAAAGAAGGAAAUCAAGCAGAGCAGAAUAAGAGUGACCUCAAAGCAAAGGUUGUAGAAUUGAUAAACAGUGCACCAGAUGAUAGUCGACCUAAAGUUUUUGUUAGUGCAACAGCUGUGGGUUAUUAUGGUACCAGUGAGACUCAAUCCUUUGAUGAAGAAAGUCCUUCAGGAAAGGAUUACUUGGCUGAGGUUUGUAGAGAAUGGGAAUCCACAGCCCAAAGGGUAAAUAAAGAUGUUAGAGUGGCUUUAAUUCGCAUUGGUGUUGUCCUUGGUAAAGAUGGGGGAGCACUAGCUAAAAUGAUACCUCUCUUCAUGAUGUUUGCUGGUGGACCUCUAGGCUCUGGAAAACAGUGGUUCUCCUGGAUUCAUUUGGAUGACAUUGUCAAUUUAAUAUAUGAAGCGCUAUCAAAUCCAUCUUACAAAGGAGUUAUCAAUGGAACUGCACCAAAUCCUGUACGAUUGUCAGAAUUAUGUGACCAGCUGGGACAUGUCUUGGGUCGUCCCUCAUGGCUACCCGUACCCGACUUUGCCCUCAAAGCUGUUCUUGGUGAAGGUGCUUCUGUGGUAAGGAAUAAUCAUCUCUAGUACGUAACUUUUAGGAUAAAAUCCUUAAAAUGCACUGUUAAUCUUUCUUUGUAGGUUUUAGAAGGACAGAGAGUGGUUCCUGCGCAAUCUAUGAAGUUGGGUUUCCCAUUCAAAUAUUCUUACGUGAAGGAUGCCCUUAAAGCUAUUCUUUCUUGAAGCAAUUUUAGCAUGAGACAGCUACCAUAUUCUUUAUUCUUUUCCGAACAUUAGUAGCAUUCACCUUAUUCAAAUUUAGACUUGGUUGAAUCGUAGUUGUUAUCAUAACGUAAUUAGUAACAAAUGAACACACGCUAUCUCAAUCCCUAUGUUAAUGAUUCAUAAUUCAUGUCGCUGUAAUUAUACUUGCACAAUCAAAAAGUAAGCAGAAAAAGGCAAAACACCACUUUUCCCCUUUUCAUAAAAAACUUCCCAGUCGUGGCUAGCACGUUGUUUACUAUUUCAAAAUUACUACUGCGGAGACGUGCAAAGUUUUUAUAUUGGGCAUUGCAACUCAGGUUGUACA